AGAUGUGUCCAUACCUGUUAUCAACGUCCAAUCUUGGAAACUAAGCAAGGUUAGGCCUGCUUAGUACUUGGUGGAAGCCCACUAGGAACACCAGGUGUCACAGUGG
rnacentral:rRNA from 1 species